rnacentral:rRNA from 1 species
GACGUAGGGUGCGAGCGUUGUCCGGAUUUAUUGGGCGUAAAGAGCUCGUAGGCGGCUUGUCGCGUCGACUGUGAAAACCCGUGGCUCAACCAUGUGGUCUGCAGUCGAUACGGGCAGGCUAGAAUUCGGUAGGGGAGACUGGAAUUCCUGGUGUAGCGGUGAAAUGCGCAGAUAUCAGGAGGAACACCGGUGGCGAAGGCGGGUCUCUGGGCCGAUAUUGACGCUGAGGAGCGAAAGCGUGGGGAGCGAACAGG